UACGUAGGGUCCGAGCGUUGUCCGGAGUUACUGGGCGUAAAGCGCGCGCAGGUGGUCCAUUAAGCCCGGCGUGAAAGCCCCCGGCUCAACCGGGGAGGGUCGUCGGGGACUGGUGGACUUGAGGGCGGCAGGGGCUGGUGGAAUCCCCGGUGUAGUGGUGAAAUGCGUAGAGAUCGGGGGGAACACCCGUGGCGAAGGCGGCCAGCUGGGCCGACCCUGACGCUGAGGCGCGAAGGCGUGGGGAGCGAACAGG
rnacentral:rRNA from 1 species